rnacentral:piRNA from 1 species
UCAGUUGCCGUUAUCCAUUCAGCUGGUGUGU